UACGGGGGGGGCAAGCGUUGUUCGGAAUUACUGGGCGUAAAGGGCUCGUAGGCGGCCAACUAAGUCAUACGUGAAAUCCCUCGGCUUAACCGGGGAACUGCGUCUGAUACUGGAUGGCUUGAGUUCGGGAGAGGGAUGCGGAAUUCCAGGUGUAGCGGUGAAAUGCGUAGAUAUCUGGAGGAACACCGGCGGCGAAGGCGGCAUCCUGGACCAACACUGACACUGAGGAGCGAAAGCCAGGGGAGCAAACGGG
rnacentral:rRNA from 1 species